UACGGAGGGUGCAAACGUUGCUCGGAAUUAUUGGGCGUAAAGCGCACGUAGGCGGACUGCCAAGUCGGAUGUGAAAGCCCUCGGCUUAACCGAGGAAGUGCACUCGAAACUGGCAAUCUUGAGUACUGGAGAGGGUCGCGGAAUUCCCGGUGUAGAGGUGAAAUUCGUAGAUAUCGGGAGGAACACCAGUGGCGAAGGCGGCGACCUGGACAGAUACUGACGCUGAGGUGCGAAAGCGUGGGGAGCAAACAGG
rnacentral:rRNA from 1 species